CGGCUCAACAUCACACGGAUUUCUUUAUCCCCAAUAAUUCGAUAUAGUCAAUUGGAGUUCAGUUGUUUGAUGGGGCACUACCAAAAAUCAUGACCCGCCAUUAGCAAUCAUGACCCGCCGAAGCAAGAGAAGCUGGUUCAACAUUGUGUGGAUUUCUUAUUCCCCAAAUUUUCAUCAAGCCAAAGCAUUGGAGGCCGACUCAAUGGCAUAUGUAUUUUAUUGCAAAGGACACUUACCAACAAGAUGAUUGUGAAGAUGGCUUGUUAAUAUGAAGAAGAAACCCGGAUUUUUCAAGGAGCCACUUCAGUAAAUCAAGCCAGCCAGAGGAGCAAGUCGGUCCCUUAACAUAUUUACUAUUCUUAUUUCAGGAGCUUACCAUGAAGAAAUUCAAGCUAAUCUCGGGGCUAAUGUCCGGGAUAUACCCCGCAGUNNN
rnacentral:lncRNA from 1 species